rnacentral:rRNA from 1 species
GAUUAACGCUGGCGGCGUGCAUAACACAUGCAAGUCGAACGAUGAAACUUUAAUGAACCCUUCGGGGAGAAUUAAAGCGGAUUAGUGGCGAACGGGUGAGUAACGCGUGAGUAACCUGCCUUACACAGGGGGAUAGCCUUUGGAAACGAAGAAUAAUACCCUAUAAAACCAUAAAAGCACAUGCAAUUAUGGUCAAAGUGAUAGCGGUGUAAGAUGGACUUGCGUCUGAUUAGCUAGUUGGUGAGAUAAAAGCCCACCAAGGCAACGAUCAGUAGCCGGCUUGAGAGAGUGUACGGCCACAUUGGGACUGAGACACGGCCCAGACUCCUACGGGAGGCAGCAGUGGGGAAUUUUGCACAAUGGGGGAAACCCUGAUGCAGCGACGCCGCGUGAUUUAGAAGGCCUUCGGGUUGUAAAAAUCUUUUGUAUAGGAAGAAAAUGACAGUACUAUACGAAUAAGGUCCGGCUAAUUACGUG